GACCACAUAGCUGGUGGUUUUCUCAAAAAUUUAAUUUCCUUAGCGGCGGCUUUUUGUCUUUACCUUUGCUCUCUUUUAAGUUUGCCCUUCGAGUGUACAGAGAAAACAACUGUAAGACUUUUUCACUCCAAAUUUUCAUUGCAACUCUCAGAGACAAGAUGAAUCCAGAGCACUUGAGAAAGCUUGAACUGGUACUGGCUAGGAAGAAGCA
rnacentral:lncRNA from 1 species